rnacentral:rRNA from 1 species
UGGGGAAUUGUUCGCAAUGGGCGCAAGCCUGACGGCGCAACGCCGCGUGGAGGAUGAAGAUCUUCGGGUCGUAAACUCCUUUCGAUCGAGACGAACGGCCCCCGGGUGAAUAAUCCGGGGGAGUGACGGUACCGAGAGAAGAAGCCCCGGCUAACUCCGUGCCAGCAGCCGCGGUAAUACGGGGGGGGGCAAGCGUUAUUCGGAAUUACUGGGCGUAAAGGGCGCGUAGGCGGCCUGAGAAGUUCUGGGUGAAAGUCCUCGGCUCAACCGGGGAAUUGCCUGGAAAACCAUCGGGCUGGAGUGCUGGAGAGGCCGGCGGAAUUCCUGGUGUAGCGGUGAAAUGCGUAGAUAUCAGGAGGAACACCCGAGGCGAAGGCGGCCGGCUGGACAGACACUGACGCUGAGGCGCGAAAGCCAGGGGAGCAA